rnacentral:tRNA from 2 species
GGACUUGUAGCUCAGUUGGUUAGAGCGCUUCGUUCACAUCGAAGAGGUCCUCCGUCCGAGCCGGAGCAAGUCCACCA